rnacentral:tRNA from 1 species
GUGGCACAAUUGGCUAGCGCGUGAGACUUUUAAUCUCAAGGUUGAGAGUUCGAGCCUCGUAAGUUGAUUCG